rnacentral:lncRNA from 1 species
CUGUCACGUAACUUUCAUUUUUUUUAUUUUAUCUUUCAUUUAAUGUUGGUUUUUAUUAUUUUAUUUUUUUAUAAACGAGGAUUUCCAGAAGCUGUUUAAUUAAUGUAUAGAGUGUGUAUGAAGAAUUAGGUUUCAGAAAAUUCGAUAAUUAAAAUUGGCAAUUUAUACUGUGUUUACAAAUAUUUAGUUUAUAUUUGUGGGUUAGACAAGGAUUCCACUAUUAGUUAGUGCAGUGAUAACAACUACGUGAUAUAUCAAUAGUUUGCUUUGAUUAAAUGUUUUAUUAUUCAAACUAGGAUUGCCGAAACCAACGGAGUUCUAGCGGUUAACUUAUCCAAGUGCACGUAUUUGUAGGGGAGGA